rnacentral:rRNA from 1 species
CCUACGGGAGGCAGCAGUGAGGAAUAUUGGUCAAUGGCCGGAAGGCUGAACCAGCCAUGCCGCGUGAAGGGCAGGGGCCUAGGGGCGGUAAACUUCUUUUGUGCGGGAGCAAAAAUGGGCACGUGGGGCCAGACGAGAGGACCGUACGAAUAAGCAACGGCUAACCCCGUGCCAGCAGCCGCGGUAAGACGGGGGAUGCAAGCGUUAUCCGGCGGUCUUGGGGGUAAAUGGUGCGGAGGCUGUGAGGUAAGUCAGCGGUGAAAUGCCCCCGCUCAACGGGGUGAAGUGCCAUUGAUACUGCCUUGCUGGACUGCGGAUGCCGUGGGCGGAAUGUGUGGUGUAGCGGUCAAAUGCAUAGCUAUCACCCAGAACACCGAUUGCG